AGAAUUAGGGUAUUAAUAAGUAUAGUUUAUUUUUCAAUAAAAGUUAUUUCAAUUUAAAUUUUAAAUUUUUGAUCAGAUAAAAUAUUUAGAAUUGUAAUUUUUUACCAACUCAACCAACACCCACUUGGUUAAUUUUAUCAUUUUUAAAGCAAUUAGAAAACGUUUAUUUUUAUUUUCAUAUUUGGCCCUUUGCUUUUGAACUUACUUUUUCCCCCAGCCAUCUUAACCCUCUUGCGAUUCUCAAUGGCCUCUUCACUGUUCAUGAUGCAGCUUUUCCUCUUCAAUUUGAGGCAACCCAGAAGCCUUGGAGUUUAAAGUUCGAAGCUAUCCAAAAGGAUCAAGAUGCUAAAGAUUGUCUGCUUCAGUGUGAUUUCCAUGGUGAUGAAUAUUUCAAUUCCUAUAAAUAUGGUGGUAGAGGAGGCAACGAGACCAAAGGUGAAGGCUAUGGAAUUCUUGAUCCUCUAUAUAGAUUUGUUAUGAAAUUAUUGGGGAUUUGUUGGCAAUGUAAAUGGCUUAUUUUUAAUUUGAUUUUUAUAUUGUAGCUAUAAACAGAAAAUUAAGUUUGUUUAGUCAAAUAUGCAUCAUGUUAUUUAUGUAAA